UGGGGAAUCUUGCACAAUGGGCGAAAGCCUGAUGCAGCCAUGCCGCGUGAAUGAUGAAGGCCUUAGGGUUGUAAAAUUCUUUCGCUAGGGACGAUAAUGACGGUACCUAGUAAAGAAGCCCCGGCUAACUUCGUGCCAGCAGCCGCGGUAAUACGAAGGGGGCUAGCGUUGUUCGGAAUUACUGGGCGUAAAGCGCGCGUAGGCGGACUGCCAAGUUGGAUGUGAAAUCCCGGAGCUCAACUCCGGAACUGCAUUCAAAACUGGUAGUCUAGAGGCCAGGAGAGGUCAGUGGAAUACCGAGUGUAGAGGUGAAAUUCGUAGAUAUUCGGUGGAACACCAGUGGCGAAGGCGACUGACUGGACUGGUACUGACGCUGAGGUGCGAAAGUGUGGGGAGCAAACAGG
rnacentral:rRNA from 1 species